CUGUGUUCCUGAUCGGUGUUUCUGCAGUACCAUUUUUCUGUACACGUCUCUACAAUUCCGGCUUUCAAUUGUUUGCAGUUUGUUUAUCUAUGUCUGAGAAUAAAGAGAAUUAUGCAUAAGAUGUUCUAGCUUAUAUAGACUAUGAUCUGUUUUCAUUGGUUGAUACUUUAUUAUGGAUAUCCAGUUUGGUUAUGUUUUCUUUUAACUCUAACUUGUGUCUUUUACUUAUGUCUUCUGCUGUGAAGAUGUAAAGCAAGAUUUAUGAAUAAUAUUCAACUCUAAUUUAUAUUUUCCUUUCC